CAGUAGCCGCGGGAAUACGAAGGGGGCUAGCGUUGCUCGGAAUGACUGGGCGUAAAGGGCGCGCAGGCGGAUUGUUUAGUUAGGCGUGAAAUUCCUGGGCCUAACCUGGGGACUGCGCUUAAUACAGGCAGUCUAGAGUGAGGAAGAGGGUUGUGGAAUUCCACGUGUAGCGGUGAAAUGCGUAGAGAUGUGGAGGAACACCAGUGGCGAAGGCGACUCUCUGGUCUGUAACUGACGCUGCGGAGCGAAAGCGUGGGGAGCAAAUGGGAUUAGAUACCCCGGUAGUCCCUGUCUCUUAUAC
rnacentral:rRNA from 1 species